rnacentral:misc_RNA from 1 species
GAUGAAGAACGUAGCGAAAUGCGAUAAGUAAUGUGAAUUGCAGAAUUCAGUGAAUCAUCGAAUCUUUGAACGCACAUUGCGCCCCUUGGUAUUCCGAGGGGCAUGCCUGUUCGAGCGUCAUUAUAACCCCUCAAGCUCAGCUUGGUAUUGGGGCCUGCCGCACGGGCAGCCCUUAAAAUCAGUGGCGGUGCCAUCUGGCUCUAAGCGUAGUAAUUCUUCUCGCUAUAGAGUCCCGGUGGAUGCUUGCCAUUAACCCCCAAUUUUCUAUGGUUGACCUCGGAUCAGGUAGGGAUACCCGCUGAACUUAAGCAUAUCAAUAAGCGGAGG